UACGUAGGGGGCUAGCGUUGUCCGGAAUUAUUGGGCGUAAAGAGCUCGUAGGCGGUUUGUCGCGUCGAAUGUGAAAACCCGGGGCUCAACUCCGGGCCUGCAUUCGAUACGGGCAGACUAGAGUUCGGUAGGGGAGACUGGAAUUCCUGGUGUAGCGGUGAAAUGCGCAGAUAUCAGGAGGAACACCGGUGGCGAAGGCGGGUCUCUGGGCCGAUACUGACGCUGAGGAGCGAAAGCGUGGGGAGCGAACAGG
rnacentral:rRNA from 1 species